rnacentral:tRNA from 2 species
CGGGGUGUGGCGCAGCUUGGUAGCGCGCGUCGUUCGGGACGACGAGGCCGCAGGUUCAAAUCCUGUCACCCCGACAA